GCGCUGGCUUUGGCAACACACAUACUAAAAUGGGGGCAACAGAGACGAUCAGCAUGACCCUGGCACAAGGAUGACACGCAAAUUCACCAAGCAUUCUGUAUUUUU